rnacentral:rRNA from 1 species
UACGUAGGGGGCGAGCGUUGUCCGGAUUUAUUGGGCGUAAAGAGCUCGUAGGCGGCUUGGCAAGUCGGGUGUGAAACCUCCAGGCUCAACCUGGAGACGCCACUCGAUACUGCCAUGGCUAGAGUCCGGUAGGGGACCACGGAAUUCCUGGUGUAGCGGUGAAAUGCGCAGAUAUCGAGAGGAACACCUGCGGCGAAGGCGGGUAGCUGGGCCGACACUGACGCUGAUGCGCGAAAGCCAGGGGAGCGAACGGG